rnacentral:rRNA from 1 species
UACAGAGGGUGCGAGCGUUGUCCGGAAUCACUGGGCGUAAAGGGCGCGUAGGUGGCUUGGUAAGCGUGUGGUGAAAGUCCGGGGCUCAACCCCGGAUCUGCCGUGCGAACUGCUGAGCUCGAGCAAUGUAGAGGCAGGUGGAAUUUCGGGUGUAGCGGUGGAAUGCGUAGAUAUCCGAAAGAACACCAGUGGCGAAGGCGGCCUGCUGGGCAUUAGCUGACACUGAGGCGCGACAGCGUGGGGAGCAAACAGGAUUAGAUACCCCUGUAGU